rnacentral:rRNA from 1 species
UACGUAGGGUGCGAGCGUUGUCCGGAAUUAUUGGGCGUAAAGGGCUCGUAGGCGGUUUGUCGCGUCGGGAGUGAAAAACCAGGUGCUUAAACACCUGGCUUUUGCCUUUUCGAUACGGGGCAGACUAGAGGUAUUCAGGGGAGAACGGAAUUCCUGGUGUAGCGGUGAAAAUGCGCAGAUAUCAGGGAGGGAAACACCCGUGGCGAAGGCGGUUCUCUGGAAUAUCCCUGACGCUGAGGGAGCGAAAGUGUGGGAGCGAAACAGGG